GCGGGGCCUUGCGUCUUGACGGCUGCUCCCCUCCUUUCCUCCCGCCACAAGCGCUCGCUGUGGUUCUGGCAGCGAAGUGCGAGACUGGGCUCGCCAGGCGGAAGUGGUUGGAGACUGCGUGUUUUCCUAGAAAGUCCUCGACCUUCGUCGGGGAGAGGAGGGGAGUGAUAAAUUGGAAGGCGGACAAGCGACAAGUGCGGUACUGGAAAGACCCAAACAUACUUGGUUGUGACCUCAGGACUCAAUAAAAUAAACAGCUGGAAAUAAGCAGACUAGUGUAAGAGUGAAUUGAAAAGAAAACCCAAGGUCACAUCUCCCAAGAAGCAGUAAUGUUCCAGCAAUAAGAAAAGGACAGUUUUUUGUCUUUUGCAUGGUGAGCCUUAUAUGAAUUACAUCAAUUUUGUCACCAAUAUCCAUCAUCAGAACAUUUUGGGGAAAAUGCCUAGAGGAGACAUCUUUAUUAAGGCCUUCAGAUGACACUUACCGUCAGUCAAUCGACCCACCUAUAAUGGCUGAAAUAUCAAAAAUCUGAAGGUGUUCUGAGCACAAGACACUUCUCCUCCACACCACCCCCACCCAUCAGCCAGCCAGCUGACUCUGAGGAUGAGGAGGAGGAGGAAGCAGCUGCUAUUCUACAUAACACAUUGCAAAUGGUCACAACAAUCAAGACUAUAUCCAUAGAUGUCCCAGAAAUAAUAUCUGACUAUACAGAGCAGCAUUACCAAGCCACCAAGAAGUCUGCCUAGUAAUGACAAUGAUAACAACAGCUAACACUUA
rnacentral:lncRNA from 10 species